ACCAAUGCAAUGCCUUGAAAUCACACAUGCACCGUCACAUGGUCCCGGGUGCUGCCGGUUGCUCCGGCGGUCGGAUCCAUGGGGUGCGUGGAGGCCUAACC
rnacentral:sRNA from 1 species